rnacentral:rRNA from 1 species
GAUGAACGCUGGCGGCGUGCCUAAUACAUGCAAGUCGAGCGAACAGACGAGAGUGCUUGCACUCUCUGACGUUAGCGGCGGACGGGUGAGUAACACGUGGGUAACCUACCUAUAAGACUGGGAUAACUUCGGGAAACCGGAGCUAAUACCGGAUAAUAUUUAGCUUCGCAUGAAGCAAUAGUGAAAGACGGUUCUGCUGUCACUUAUAGAUGGACCCGCGGUGUAUUAGCUAGUUGGUGAGGUAACGGCUCACCAAGGCAACGAUACAUAGCCGACCUGAGGGGGUGGUCGCCCACACGGGGACGAGACCACGGCCAAGCCUCCUAGGGGGGGGAGCAGGGGGAAUUCCUCCGAAAGGGACGAAAGUCGGAGGGAGCAGUGCCGGGUGAGAGAAGAUGUUUUUGGGAUCGAAAAACUGUGUUGAGGGGGAAGAAAAAGAACGUUAGAAACUGAACGUCCUUUGACGGUCCCUAACAAGAAAGCCACGGCUAACUACGUG